rnacentral:rRNA from 1 species
GUCCACGCUGUAAACGAUGCACAUUAGGUGCUAGAGAGUAUCGACCCUCUUUAGUGCCACAGCUAACGCGUUAAAUGUGCCGCCUGGGGAGUACGGCCGCAAGGCUAAAACUCAAAGUAAUUGACGGGGACCCGCACAAGUGGUGGAGCAUGUGGUUUAAUUCGACGAUAAGCGAGGAACCUUACCAAGGCUUGACAUGUACCUGCAAUCUCGCGAAAGCGAGACGCCUUCGAGGGUGGUACACAGGUGAUGCACGGUCGUCGU